rnacentral:siRNA from 1 species
GAAUCUGUGCAGGUUGUCAGGA